GUGGGGAAUAUUGGACAAUGGGCGAAAGCCUGAUCCAGCCAUGCCGCGUGUGUGAAGAAGGUCUUCGGAUUGUAAAGCACUUUAAGUUGGGAGGAAGGGCAGUAAGUUAAUACCUUGCUGUUUUGACGUUACCGACAGAAUAAGCACCGGCUAACUUCGUGCCAGCAGCCGCGGUAAUACGAAGGGUGCAAGCGUUAAUCGGAAUUACUGGGCGUAAAGCGCGCGUAGGUGGUUUUGUAAGUUGGAGGUGAAAUCCCCGGGCUCAACCUGGGAACUGCCUCCAAAACUACUGAGGUAGAGUACGGUAGAGGGUAGUGGAAUUUCCUGUGUAGCGGUGAAAUGCGUAGAUAUAGGAAGGAACACCAGUGGCGAAGGCGACUACCUGGACUGAUACUGACACUGAGGUGCGAAAGCGUGGGGAGCAAACAGGAUUAGAAACCCGUGUAGUCC
rnacentral:rRNA from 1 species